GACGUAGGGCGCGAGCGUUGUCCGGAUUUAUUGGGCGUAAAGAGCUCGUAGGCGGCUUGUCGCGUCGAAUGUGAAAUCUCAGAGCUCAACUCUGACAUUGCAUUCGAUACGGGCAGGCUAGAGUUCGGUAGGGGAGACUGGAAUUCCUGGUGUAGCGGUGAAAUGCGCAGAUAUCUGGAGGAACACCGGUGGCGAAGGCGGCGUCCUGGACCAACACUGACACUGAGGAGCGAAAGCCAGGGGAGCAAACGGG
rnacentral:rRNA from 1 species